GACUCCCCUGUCGUCCAGCGCUGUUUUUGCUCAUAUUCUACCUGCUAUAAUUAAUAAAAUUUUAAUUGGAUUAUGAUCCGUUGUGGUCUCAAUUUAUGACAAUUUUCUGGUGCCGUGACUCGGAUAAGGAACGGUGGACUUUGGUCCUCCGGGGAGGCGCCCCGCGACAUUUCGCGGCCCCGCGACCAACAGCUCACCCCAACCUUACCGACGAACCUAAAUUCUAGAAUAAUGAGCAAAGGAGAAACCGGUAAAAUCCCAUAAAAUUCUGUGCACGGGAGUCCGGACGAAGACGCAGGACGUAAACAGCUGUCCGGACUGCUGAGCGUGGAUGGACUCAUGCCAGUCACAUUAAAGGCCCAGUGACGAGACCCCACUGGAAAGUAAUCAGUACUCCAGGUGACACCAAGAUAACCCUGAAAAGAUAACGUAAUGAUAGAGACUUUAUUUGAUUAUUUCACCGCAUUACCUUUUGGUAUAAAGUGUGUAUUGCUGUUUA